ACAGUCACACAUUAGAUACCCGUGUAGUCCUAGCCGUAAACGAUACUCGCUAGGUGUCGGCCACGGUGCGACCGUUGUCGGUGCCGUAGGGAAGCCGUGAAGCGAGCCACCUGGGAAGUACGGCCGCAAGGCUGAAACUUAAAGGAAUUGGCGGGGGAGCACCACAACGGGUGGAGCUCGCGGUUUAAUUGGAUUCAACGCCGGAAAUCUUACCGGGACCGACAGCAACAUGAAGGCCAGGCUGAAGACUUUGCCGGAUUAGCUG
rnacentral:rRNA from 1 species